CUUCAAUUAUCAAAAUAGGAGUCGCUUGCUCUUCCAAGUCUCCAAGGGAACGAAUGGACAUCGGUGAUACAUUGACUAAACUCCAAGGAAUCAAGAAGAACUUCUUAAUUUCAUUGUCAUUGCCUAGUUGAUGUCAAAUCUAAACUUCAUAUGGAGUCAUGUGAUCUCUGUGGUCAUUGCUUUGUGUGGAACUAGAUAUGUUGUUUUGUCAUUCACAAACAGUUUGAAUCUAGCUAUGACUUAGCAAUUCGAGGAAGAUCAAAAUAAUUUAUGUUGUCUUAAGCGAAAGAGCACUAUCUUUGAGUUGGUAUGAAAAAUUAUUGUACUUUAUUUUGUUAGGUCUCAAAGAGUUACUCAGAGAGUCUCUGGAUGUUAGGUCUCAUUGUCAUUGUAGAAUAUUAGAUUUUAACUAUGACUUUUCAAUGCAAUCGUAAGUAAAUAAGCACGUUGAGCUAGAAUUUCUUUUCAUGACAUUGUUUGAUUGUGAUUAACUCUUUUAUGUCCGGCUGCCAAAUUGGGUGAUAUACAAGAAAGUGUAUCGUUAAUAUGAAAAAUCUGACUUAUGAAAUGUUUUCUCGCAUAUUUUUUUAUAAAAUAAAUACCAUAUAUAUUGGACAUUGCCAAAUCCCAGAUAAUUAUCGUGUAUUGAAUUUUUGCAUUUUUUAUAAUUAAUGUUUUCGACGCCGUCAGUUUCCGACCAUGUUCAUCUCCUCCCUUCCGUCCGGUGGCUCUCCUCAAACCGAGAGGCUUGCAGAGAGUUUAGAGAGAGGAAGACGAGCUUCGAUGGAGUCAACCAUAUCCAAGACUCUCUCUCUCUCUCUAUCCUCAUCUCCCUCCUCCUCAAUCCCUUCAUCUCCUCCGGCUCUCGCGAGGUUCCGCUUGCGGUGCGUUCCGAGCUUCGCUGCGGCUGACACGGGGGCGGCGGCGGCAGCGGCGGAGUUCACGGUGAGGAUGGGAAGGCGAAAUCGGCCGUGGAUGGAGCCGAUGAAGCCUCAGCCGUCUGCUCGGAUGCCAUAAUUCUCGACGUCGGAGGAAUGACUUGUGGGGGAUGUGCAGCGAGCUUGAAGAGAAUUCUGGAAAAUCAAGUAUCCGCCACAAGCGUCAAUCUUACAACUGAGACGGCAAUUGUAUGGCCUGAUUCUGAAGCCAAGGCUAUACCUAAUUGGAAAAAGAAGUUGGGGAGAAACACUUGCAAAACACUUGACAAAUUGUGGCUUUAAGUCUAAGUGAGUUUACCAUUUGCUUGUCUUUCUUGAAAUGAAUGGACUUGGAUGGAGGAAUAUCAUUGAGGAAAAAGCUCAGCCUCGAGGUUCAGGUAGAGACUGAGAUGGUGAUCGCAGUCGUGAUUGUGGUCGUGAAUGUGGCCCCAAUUGGGACUAUGGUGGUGGACAUGGAGGUGGAGGUGGAGGAUGCUUUAAGUGUGACAAGCCUGGGCAUUUUGCAAGGGAGUGUCCUCGUGUAGGGGGCUGAGGAGGUAGGUAUGGGGGCAGGGAUGAUAGUACGGAGUUGGUGGUGGUGGGCACUAUGGUCCUGAUCGAAAUGGUGAUCGAUCUGGAGGGAGCAAUAGGGAUAGUGGUACUCAAGGAGGAUCAGGAAAUGCUCCUAUAAUCAGGACCGUUCUGGUCCCUAUGAAAGGUGUGGUAUAGGGAACUUCAAUCUGGGGUAGAAAGAAUACUCCUGAUAGCUAUGCACACAGUUUAUUUAUUUUUAUUUUUUUUCAGUUAUAGUAAAGCAGUUGAUUCUGUGCUGAUUGAAAAAUAUUUUGUGCUUGUAGCAGAGCAACUGGAGGUACUGCUAUUACUUUCUGGAGUUGUCAAAGUCCCUUCUGUUGAAUCUCUACUUUAUUAUUCUCCGGGUGGACAAAUCUGCUUGAUCAGUCUUUCAAUGCGCAAACUUUGGCUAAAAGAUUCAACUGUUUAAUAUCUAUGAAUGCUUGCUUUGAUGUUA